rnacentral:rRNA from 1 species
UACGGAGGGUGCGAGCGUUGUCCGGAAUCACUGGGCGUAAAGGGCGCGUAGGCGGCCGUGUAAGUCACUUGUGAAAUCCCGGGGCUCAACUCCGGGGCUGCAGGUGAGACUGCAUGGCUAGAGCUUGGUAGAGGCGAGUGGAAUUCCCGGUGUAGCGGUGGAAUGCGUAGAUAUCGGGAAGAACACCGGUGGCGAAGGCGGCUCGCUGGGCCAAUGCUGACGCUGAGGCGCGAAAGCCAGGGGAGCAAACGGG